UUCACAAAACAAACAAAAACAAACAACCGCUAAAUUCAUUGAUGUAGAUACGGUAAUAAAUAUGCAAAUUAGUAGCAACCUGAUUACAUCAUCUAGCGUCUAUGCAUAUAUAUUUACACAUAAAAAAUAGUUCGAAAGUAAGCAACAAACAAUCAAAUUUAAACGCACAUAAUACAAAAAUUGAAGCGAGAAAUCGAAACUUAAAAGAACAAUUUCUGCACUAAAAACACAAUACCAAUAUUUUUUACAAUAACACAUUCGACAUGUACUUCCAAGAGUACACACCAACCGCUAUUUUCAAAGCGAAUGUGUAGAGUGAAAAUUUCAAACAAUAAAUACAAUAAUCAAAUGGAACGGGAUUUUAACGUAGUGCGCAAUUUGGAAGUGAUAAGAGUGAUUUAUUUUUCAACUUGUCCAUCUCCGUAAUAUACGUUUAGUUGUGAGAUGUUAACAGUUUUCCCCAAAAAACAGGCCUUCACGUGCGAAGUCAAAGUGGGUGGGGAACGCGACUACUUGUGUAUUUCGAGUCGCUGGAACUUCAUAAUGAAGCUGCUUUUAUGCAAUAUUCAGCGACGUUACCAGCUGUGUGUUAGACAAAACGAAAAUGCUUUGGUUUUGCAUCGUGUUUUGAGACUGUCAGGGUGAAAUGAUGGAUUAAUUGCUGUUUGACUGACAAUAAAUGAACAUGUUUGUGUUUUGAGAUUGCUGAGGUUAAUAUCUUCACAAUUGGGAAAUCCCAACAUAAGUUGACUGCCAGUUUGACCACUGAUCUGCAUAAUAUCAGUGGGAGAGCAUGCUGAAUCCCGCAGCUUCUGCACCAUAUGUUUCCUGGCCGAGUGGUUGUUGCGACCACACAUUCCAUGGGUGAUGAUAUCUACCAAAAUUUUUGGCGGCACAGUUCUACCCUCGUCAGUUGCACUUGUCCGAGUCUUUCUCUGCCUCUAAACCAACUCGAGAUAUCCCCCCUCCCCAACUGUAUCCCGGCACAGCUUCACAUCAACCCAUCUAAUUAAUUUGUCGGAAAGGUUGAUUACACAAAUAUCCUGUUUGGUUGUGGAGAUGGUUGUGGAGAUCAUUUUUUUGUGAAAGUUUGAUUUCAGACACUUAAAAAUUGAAAUUGUCAUGUAUUAUUAGGCAUGGCAGGCAUUAGCAAAGCAUCUCAAUCAAGUAUUUAUUAUUUUACUUUGUCAAUGUCAAUUUAUUGUGUAUGCUAUUCACCUGUUUGCCUUGCUUUUUAUAAAAAUGACACAAAAAAGGAAAGCAUUUGUAAAGUAGUAGUUAUUUUUUUUAUAUAAUCUUAGACUAGAUGUUUAGUGAAUAUUUGUCAUAAAUUCUUCUUUAACAUGAUCAAAUCUGUCAUACUUUAUUUAAAACGUGUUAAGUAUAUUUGUGUUACGUUUUAUAUGUUUAUCAUUACUGUUUUAAAUUGUGUUCAUCUGCAGGCAAUGAAUGGUAGCGGUGCACAUUUGUAUUUGUUUAUUUUUUUUUCAUUUAAUAAUGCUCAUUUAAUUUAUAUUUCCCUAUAGAUAUAUACUUAAUAAAGUGUUAGUUUUGUUUAAAAAAACAACAUCUUGUUUAUUAAUGUUCUAACUUCUGAAUAAAAUAUGAAUCGCU